rnacentral:rRNA from 1 species
CAGAGGUCCCAAGCGUUGUUCGGAUUCACUGGGCGUAAAGGGUGCGUAGGUGGUCAGGUAAGUCGGAUGUGAAAUCUCCGAGCUCAACUCGGAAACUGCAUUGGAAACUACCUGGCUCGAGGGUUGGAGGGGGGACUGGAAUGCUUGGUGUAGCAGUGAAAUGCGUAGAUAUCAAGCGGAACACCAGUGGCGAAGGCGAGUCCCUGGACAACUCCUGACACUGAUGCACGAAAGCUAGGGGAGCAAACAGGAUUAGAUACCCUGGUAGUCCUAGCCGUAAACGGUGCACGUUUGCUGUAAAAGGAAUCGACCCCUUUUGUGGCGUAGCCAACGCGUUAAACGUGCCGCCUGGGAAGUACGGUCGCAAGAUUA